rnacentral:misc_RNA from 1 species
UUUCCGUAGGUGAACCUGCGGAAGGAUCAUUAAACAUUUUGGCCGUAACAAGCCUUAACCCUUCUCUACGUGUACCUUCACAUCCUCCCUCGGCGGGGUAACGCCCGCCGUCGGAACCUCACCAACCCUCUUUGCAUCCAGCAUUAUACCGUUCUGAUAGAAACACAAUCGUUACAACUUUCAACAAUGGAUCUCUUGGCUCUG